AUGGGCGAGCUUGGGGAAUGGUUUCAAGAGGGGAAUCAGAUAAUACCCAAGAGGUUCCUUGCCAUUGAUGGAUUUGGUGGCCUCGGGAAGAUCACGCUCGCCCUGGAGUUGUACCGCAAGUUCGGAGAUGGAUUUGACUGCAGAGCGUUCGUGCAGGUGUCGCAGAAGUUCGAUCUGCUAAUGCUUUUGAAGAGCCUUUUCAUUCAGUUCCGUGAGCAGCAGGCUCACGAUGAUUUGUCUGUCAGAGUUGAGGAAUUGGAAGAAAUCCCUCUCAAAAAGAUGCUCGCUCGCCAAUUAGAAGAUAAGAGGUACCUUAUCUUGAUAGAUGACAUCUGGUCCGUAUCGGCAUGGGAAAAGAUUAACGAUUCUCUACCAGAUAGUUCCAAGGGUGGUAGAGUAGUGGUGACAACAAGGUUUAAAUCUGUAGCUGUGGCCUGCUGUCGUCAAAAUGGGUUUCCUUAUGAGCACAAACCGCUUGAUAAAAAGAAAUCCUACAAUUUGUUUCGUCAAAUAAUCCCCAAUGCUCCCCAUCACCCCACAGAUGUUGCAUCAGAUGUUUUGAAAAAAUGUGGGGGUUUGCCUUUGGUGAUAACUGUGGUAGCUGGGCUUGUUGCUAGUAAACUGAGCUCAGGACCUAGUGCGUCAACUUUAGAUCACUAUUUGCCUGAAGUUGCCAAUGCUUUGAGUGGAGAGCUGGAAACUAACCUCACCACUCAAGGUGUAACAAAAAUACUUGAGAGGUGCUACACUGAUUUGCCGGCCGAUCUGAAGACCUGCUUGUUGUACAUGAGCAUGUUUCCGAAGGGACGCUCUAUCAGUCGAAAGCGUUUGAUCAGAAGAUGGAUAUCAGAAGGGUUCAUUAUUGAGAAGCAUGGCAAGACUGUGGAGGAAGUUGCCGAAGACUGCUUCAAUGAACUGAUUGUCCGGAACUUGAUUCGGGCAGUCAGCAACAGCAGCAACGGAAAGGUUAAGAACUAUCAGAUUCAUGACAUGGUUCUUGAAUACAUUGUUUCCAAGUCAAGCACCGAGAAUUUCAUCACAGUAGUGGGUGGUCACUGGCAGACACCGUUCCCAAGCUAUAAGGUACGCAGGUUGUCUGUCCAGAGAAGUGAUGAAAAAGAAACAGUACAGAGGAUGAAACUAUCGCAUGUCCGGUCCUUGACGGCAUUUGAGAGCUUCAAAGAACUGCACUCUUGUUUGCUGAAGUUUCAGAUAUUACAAGUUCUGGAUCUUGAAAGUUGCAGGGACUUGUCCUCCCAUCGGCUCGACAAAAUAUGCAAAAUGCAUCAGUUGAAGUACCUGAGCCUGCGUCGUACAGACAUUGGAGAAAUACCAUCCCAAAUAGGUAUGCUGGAAUAUUCGGAGGUGCUUGACAUUAGGGAGACAAAAGUCAGACAAUUGCCAAAAUCAGUUAAGCAGCUUAAGCAAAUGACCCAUCUUCUUACUGGCAAUAAAAGCAAGAAGAUGGCAGUUACAUUAACAGAAGAAAUGACAAACAUGACAGCUCUUGAGACACUAUCUGGUGUAGGAAUAUAUGGAAGAUCAAGGUCUAAUCAAGGCAAGACGGGUAUAUUCAAGGCAGCUACCAGCGGCACAUCUAAAGAAGUGAUUCAAUCCUUGGAGAAGCUCACCAACCUGAAGAAACUUAGCCUUUACAUAAUUGGAAUGCUUGAAAAGGCAAAUGAGGAAUCAUUGCUCUCUGCCAUUGAGCACCUGAGCAGCUGCUCCCUCAAGUUUCUGGCAAUUGACGAUGGUUUCACCGGCUUUCUUGAAAAUUCAUUCAGCUCUUCAAAAGCACCGCCAGAGCACCUGCACACCCUCGAGCUUUCUGGAAUGUUGCGAAAACUGCCCCAGUGGAUUGAACGUCUGCAUAGCCUUGGAAAGCUAACUUUGUCGUUAACUUCACUCAAGAAAGGGACAUUGAAAGAUCUUGGUAAGCUGCCUCAGCUGUUCUCCCUUAUUUUUUCAAUCGAUGCAACAAACGAUCCAAGCGUUCUCAAAAUUAUAGAUCAGAAUACAUCGGAGUCGGGAGGGGAGAUAUUUGUGCUGCCCGGUGGGUUUGAAAAGCUUAAACUAUUGCGCUUUGUGGCAAUAAUGCUGCCACCUCUGAGUUUCCUCGGAGGGGCCAUGCCAGUGCUCCAGAGGCUUGAGCUGAGGUUCAGAAUUUCCGAGGGUGUUCACGGCCUGGAAAAUCUUGCAAGCCUCCAACAGGUGUUCCUCACAGUCAGCAGCAAGGCACCUAAGGCAGCCGAGGAGAUCAAACGACUUGCAAGCAAGAUUGGAAGCCUCCCUUCUGUUAUCGUCGAUGAAUACAACGAAUCAUCGGUCGAGCCGAGUAAGUAG
rnacentral:rRNA from 1 species